GGUGGCAAAGUGGCCAAAGUGCUUGGCUGCUAACCAAAAGGUUGUUGGUUCAAACCCAUCAACCA
rnacentral:tRNA from 1 species